rnacentral:lncRNA from 1 species
UUUGAUGGUGAUAUUGUAAUUACAACAAAAUGCACUAAUCGCCCUUUGCAUCUUAUAAACUGAGCAUGCAGACUUGCAGGGCACCUUUGCAUGUCUAUGAACGAUGGUCGGCCUCUCUCCACAUAAGCCAGCUACCUCGAUCUUGAUGCGCUCAUCUGUUCCAAGUUGGUUGGUGUGCUGCUCAACUUGUUGGACUUCAGUGAGACCGGGUGACAGUUGCAUCUCAAUUCAACUCAUCUUCAAGUUGGACGACAUACAGAGUCCGAGUUCCUCGACCAUGGUCAGCCCGGAUGUUUGAUCAUUUGGAUAAUCUCCAUGUCACAUUAAUGCUUGACGAGUGAUGCUGCCCAAGUUGGGUGGCCGUGAAUUGCACCCUAGUUGCUCUACACUGCCCUGCUAUGCGACCUCUUCUGAUCUGAAAUGUGAGUCCGACUUCAAGCACGACUUCAACUCAAGCCGUGUCUGACUUUGAGAAUAGGUCCGAAUUCGAGCACGCGUUCAAUUCCUGAGCGUGAGUUCGUCCUUAUGCCCCAGUCCUACUUGAAGCACGCAUCCGACUCAAGGACCCAUAUCCGAGCUGGUUGACACACUUGUUUUUCCAUUGAGCUGCUUAAUCUGAAUAUUACGAUCUGAGAUGUGAGCAAAUCGACAGUUUUGUGAACGAAAACCUCAUAUUAUCUUGUAGAGUUAACUACGAUGCACCGACAAAUACGAUCCCGAAGCUAAAUUCAUAUAAUUUGCUUGAGCCUUCCACCGACCAGCUAUGGCCGAGCAAUUGAAGUCUUCUAGCUGAAGUUCUUUAUCGACCUCUUAUGAAUGGAACGAUCAGUGCAGUGUGCCUUAAGUGCACGAUCAGUUCAGCCCUACCUUGCUCCUCUCUGUCUGCCUUGCAUUUGGCCGACCUGUUCGAAUUGCUUAGUUUGCCAUCAUAGUUGUGAUGCUUGGUUGGACCGACCAUUUCUGCAUAUAGACUUGCUCGAUUUGGCUCUUCAAGGAGCUCAUCCUCCGAACUUAACAUCCCGGCUGAUAAAUCUUUUUUCCUCUGGGCUCCCUGAUGGGUCUGGUUUUCUUCUUGGUCCAUCAUAUGGGUCCAUCAAAUGGGUUUCUCAAUGUUCUAUUUGACGAAGAGGCCUGCAAAAUGGAAAAAAUGAUCAGGGGUCUACCGGGGAUGCCCCCGGUGGAGACCCUCCGACGUUUAAGUCAGAUUUUAUGGAUUGGAGGAGUAUAUUUAGGCAAGAGUUGCCGAGAGAAAAAUAAAAAUGGAGUUUAGGAAGAAGAAGGAAAAAGAGAGAAGAAGAGAGAGAGCCCCUUUCUCUCUACCCGUGAUGUAUACCUGUCCCUCUGCCACAGUGCUAGCUGUCUCUGUUACCCAGCUCCGUACGUACGGAUAUGUCAGGCACCUGCUCCAUGCGUAGCGGCCAUUUAAUUCCCCUCAGUACGCGUGUAAGCAAGUCUGCUGGAUAUGUGGGCCGGACAUCCCUUCUCAUUGAACCCGGACUCAUGAUGGACCCGGCCUCAUAGCGAACCCAGUCUACCCCGCGUCUCCGGAUCGGGGCUUGAGAGGCUGGAUCGAUCUUGCUUAAGGAGGGCUUGAUGGGCUUUGGGCUGUUGUUCUCCUCUUGGGCCCGGUCUUGCUCAGGGCAAAGGAAACCCGACGGUCAUGAAUUGCCCCUUUACCUCCUCGGCAGUUAUUACAUGAGUGGCGAGGAGGUAAAUCCUUGAAUUCUAUAUAUGACCGCAUGGCCUGAGAAUAGCUACUGUCAAAAGCAUUUUUUCCUUGCCUUUUUAUUUCUUUGUCUUUCUAUUUUGAUGUUUGAAUGUAUGGCGAUCUGGAGAUGUGUAUUUGAUGAUGAAUGAUAUUUCACCUCGGCCUGUGCCUCAUCAUUAUUUUCUACUCAGACUCUCUUCUGGCUUUGUCAAUUUUACUUACUUGAUGGACCAGGCCGGCUCUACGGGGACUUUGCUAGUCGAACUGACCCGGAUUAAGAGCUCGGAGUCCAAUUAAGCUUCUGACUUGAGGGUUUUUCUUUUUUCCAUGAGGGCAUUUCUGUCUUUGGCUCAUGACCUUGUCAGUACUGCGAGCUCGGAUGUAUAAUACCUAUAGAAAUAUCUUAUUUGCAAGAGUGCCCCAUAUUAGACGAUUUUAACUCUCGUUCUUGUUAUGGGCUCGGAUAUCUGGUUUCUCUUGAUGUGACCUUCUGGCAGUCAGUGCGGUCUAAGCCGUGUGCUCCACUGGGAUAGGGAGCUCGGCCUUUCGUCAUUUUCCUCUGCCAGGGCCAUCUUUGCUAAGUGUUUGCUUGCUGUGAGUUAAAUACGAGAUGUGAGCAGGGUCUCUCGCUUUCAUUUAGUCCUUUGUGUUUUUCUGCAUUUGCAGGCCUUUUCAUGUAGGGAGCUCGGCUCUCUGGUAUGUCCUCUAUGCUCAGCUUUAUUCAGCUUGGUUGUUUACUUGUCGUGAGUCCAUCCAGACUGCGGAUUAAGGAGCUCGGAUUUUUGUUCUUUGCUUAGGCUUUUACGCCUAUGACCUGUGAUACUGCCUGUGCUACGGGCUCAGGAGUUCGGAAUUUCUCCUUCCUCACUUUGGUGCCCCGAGCUCUUCUGUGAAGUCAGACUUAAUUUCUUGUUUUCUUGUCGAGCCUUAUUCGGGCUAUGUUUCAGUCUAACUGCUUGUUUGUUCGGUUUUAACUCUUCUUUUUUGCCCCCGAGUGUUUUUCGGGCUGCCUACCCUCGAGCGUUUUGCGGGCUCUUUGCUGUUUAGACCUCUCUCUAGGCUAGUUGAGCUGGUUUAGUGCUAGCGGUCAAUUCUCGAGGUCAGUGCCUCUUAUGAUUGCCCUUAAUUCUUUGUUUGGUUCUGUAUUUUGACAUGCAUUUGGCUUAGGAUUCGCCUCGCCUUAAUUCGGUCUGCCUAUUGGAUUUACCAGUACCGCGCUCAUUUUCUUGAGAUCAGUAUUUUAUUAGUUUGUAAUCCGAGUUCGGAUUUAGACUUUUUAUUUCUGUUCCAGCUCCCUCUUGAAGUCAGCAUGGCGCUUUGGCGCUUUGGCGCUUUAGAGCUUUUGGCUGUUGUGCGAGAUCAAAGUCUCUUUACCUUUUGACCCGAGCUUCUUUGGGAGGUCGGAGCUAUGUUCUUAUGAGUUGUUUUUGCGUGUUGUCAUUGUACACUGCUGUUUGCUGUGAGCAUACAGUAUUUUUUAAUAAAAGGUGAAAGAAUAGUUCCCUUCGUCCUCUCGGCUCGGUUUUGUGGCGCCGGGAGAUCUUGGGGAUCUCGGUCUUCUACCUUCCUGAGGUCUCUAUGUCUCAGUGAGGUCUUCUACCUCCCUGAGGUCUCUAUGUCUCAGUGAGGUCUUCUGCCCCCCUGAGGUCUCUAUGUCUUAGGGAGGUCUUCUGAUGCCGGGAGAUCUUGGGGAUCCCGGUCUUCUACCUCCAGGAGGUCUCUAUGUCUCAAGGAGGUCUUCUACUCUUUUUUCUGAAUUUUUCUGCAAAAUAAGAGCUUGCACAGAGCAUAUAUAACGAGAAGGCUCAUUGUUAAUUCAAUAAUAUUCAUUAAUAAAUAAUGUGUCGCACAUGACACAUAGUUUUAUUUUUCAGAUGCGUGCAAGUAUUAGCUCUAACGACAUCAACUCAUGCAAUUUUAGAGAUGCAAUAAACAAUAUUUUGCAAGUGUAAACUUCUCCAAGAUUUUUCAAUUUAUAAAGUACGUGAUCUUUUUCUCAGGAAUGUCUGUGUUAGCAUUAAUAAUAAAAUUUCAUGACAAUAAGCAAUUGUCAAGAUAUCUAAGCUUAGGUGAGUAUAUUUUGAUUAAAUUUAUGAAAUCUUUUGUAUUCAAUCAAUAAUUAAUCAAAGAUAUUUUCCAUUAACUAUAAGGCACUCUUUGAAAUUUAAAUUCUAUUUUGCUUAUUUAUAACUUGAUGGCCAUACUGUGAUCAUGACAAAAUGCCUAGAUUGCCCUUUGAAUGAUGAUACUAAUGGGUCAAUGGCAUUGGACGUAAAUAAAUCAGAAUUAUUCUAGAUGGCAAAUUAUGAUGGUCUUCCUAUUAAUAUAAACAGAAUAAUUAAUUGUUGUUUUUAAUAUUCUCCUUUCGCUAUUGUAAUACCCGGCUAGACUCCGGUAUCGGAAUUCCUACUAUCCGGUGGAAUCUCGGAUGUCGGAAACCUUUAGAAAACCAUGUUUUCAUAAAAUAUUUUAAUGUAUUUUAUGGUUUUAAGCAAGAAAGGAAAUUGAGUUUUGAAUGAAAAAGGCCAAGGAGGCAUUUCCAGGUUCGGCCGCCGAACAUUGGAUGGUUUAGGGGGCAAGUUAGGCUUCCGAAAGUUUCAAAGGUUUGGCCGCCGAACCUCAUGUUCGAUCGCCAAACUUGCAUGAUUUUUGGAGGCACUUUAGGCUGCCAAAAGGUGGUCUGGCAGCCCCUAUAAAAGGGCUCCAUGGCCGAAACAGGCGAGUUUUCUCCCCAUUUUCGGCCACGGUGAGUUCCUGCUCUCCCAUGGUUGAUCUUUGAUUUUUUCCUCCGAUCUUUCACGUUUUAACAAGCUUUAUGUUGUUUUGAAGAUAUUUGAACAAAAGAGCAAGUUUUGAAGCUUGGAGACCAAAGAGUUGAUUUCUCCCCAUCUCCGAGCUAGGAUCGUCUCCCCUCUCGUUCUUCAAGAGGUAAGAGUAGAUCCAUAGUUCAUUUCAUGUUUUAAGCAAGUUUUAUGAAGUUUCUUGGGGUAGAAAUGCAUGUGUAGGUUUAUGAUGAGUUUUUGGUUAAAUGUGUGUUUAUGAGCAAUGUAUGUUGAAUAUGCAUGUUUGAUGUGUGGUAGUUGGGGUUUAGGAUAGUUUGAAGCCCCUAGGAGCUUAUAUGCUUGAAUAUGCAUGUUGUAGAAUAGGAAAAUGCAUGUGUGAAUGAGUUGGGAGGCUUUUGUGCAUGUUGGAGGUGAGUUUCUGCCCUUUGGGAAGAACUCAGGUUCGGCAGCCGAAGGCUCUUUCGAUCGCCGAACUUGCCUGUGGAGGCCAACUUUUGGCUGCCGAACCCUGCCCCCGAAAGUGGACUUUCGGCUCUAGAAGGGAGUUUCGGCCGCCGAAGGUGCCGCCGAACAUGCAUGAGUUUCGUCUCUGGAGGGAACCUUCGGCCGCCGAAAGUACCGCCGAAGGUGCAUGACUUUCGGCUCUGGAGGGCCUUUCGGCUCUGGAGGGCCUUUCGGCCGCCGAACCUGCCGCUGAAAGUGCCCUGUUCAGCCCUCCUUUGCAUGAUUUCUAUGCUUGUUUUAAGGUGUUUUAGGGGGGUUUUUGGGGAGUAUUUUAGAGUCAUGUUUAUAGAUGUUUGGCCCCUCAUUUGAGUCCACCUGUGUAGGUUUGGACCCGAGGAACCGAGGCCCUCAGCAGUGAGAUAGCUAUUUCAGAGUCAUUAGAGCUUCAGCCAGAGGUGAGUAGAAUAAACACUUAUGUUUUAAAGCAAAUAAAUAAAUUUCGAGCAUGAUACAUGCAUCACGUAUGCCAUGAGAUAUACUAGGUUGGUUGCAUUAGAAUUCACGAAUAUGUUGCAUUGCAUAAUAUGUUGUUGAUGUGGAUGGAUAUUGGAUGAUCCAUAGCCCUCAAUCUAUGAUAGGAUGAUAUGAUAUGUACGGUACGGAAUGAAAGACCAGUGGGACCCAUUCUACGUCCGCUGGCACCAUGUAAGAGAAAGACCAGGACCCAUUCUACGUUCUGGCACUAUGGAAUUAUGUAGAGGGCUAAUGGUGACAAGUUCAUCCUUUAUGUGAUAUGUUUGUGAUGUGAUGCAUUUCAUGGAAGCAUGGACUUUAAAUUUAAUGCUUUACUAUUCUACUCACUGGGCUUUAUAGCUCACCCCUCUCCCUUAACCCCCAGAUUUGCAGGUACAGGGUAGACCAGGAGGUCAGCAGGAGUAGAGUCAUGUUAUGUAAUAGCUAGAUGUGGACAUGAAUAUGAUGUAAUAUAAAAGUAUAGUAUAUAAAUGUAAUGUAAUGAUGCUUAUGGAAGUUUAGUUGUGCUUGACCAUAGUAUGUUGUUAAUACCUUUCUAAUACAUGAUCUUAAAUAUUUAAUGAUAAUUAUUGUAAACCAAGCUUAAUAUAUGUUAUGAUUUAUGCAUGCACAGGUUAAGCUUAGUGAAAGUAUGAAUGAAAGUAUGAAUGAAAGAAUGAAUGAAUGAUUAAAUGAGAAAGUUUUAAAUUUUUAUGUAAUUGUUGAUCAUGUAUGGGAUUAAAUAGGUAUGCAGGAUGAAUGUUUGGUUUGCUACGGGUCCCGGAGGCCUUAAGCCGAUCUGGAUCCAAGCGCCGGUAGCGGUCCGGUUUUCGGGUCAUUACAGCUAUAACAGUUGAUGAAUAUCUUAUGCAAUAAAAUUAUAUAUAUAUUAUUUUUUUUUUUAUUUUCAGGAGGUGACAACACCUGUACUUCAAAGGAUGUUGAUAAAUCUAACUAAUAGUUUAUUUUGCAAAUAAAGCUUUUAUUACCUCUUUACUUCUUCCUGGGCAGAUGCAGAUCUGCGUGGCCAUUGGGUCUUCAUUCACAGGAGAGCCCUCUCCGCCUUAACAAUCUCGUGCAUGACCCGCUGAACUUCGGCGACUCGUUCAACUUCAGUGGGCCCAGGCGGCGGCCGCACUCUAAUUUGGCUAGUCUUCAAGUUGGCCAGCAGGUACAUCCCGAUCUCCCCUCGAUCGACUUGGGUAUUUGAUUAUUUCUCGUCAUCUCCCUGUCACACUGAUAGUUGAGGGACGCUGUUGUCCAACCAAGUCGGAUAGUUACGAGUCACGCCCUAGCUGCUUGGCAACAUCAUUUCAUCCGACCUGAAAUCUGAGCCAAACCUCAAGCGCGGCUCCGGCCUCGAUCACAAAUCUAAGCUCGAGCAUGGAUCCGACCUCAACGAGUAAUCUUAUGCUGUGGCCGUCGGAUUUGCCGAGCUCCUCUCUGCCUUGCUACUCCGACCAACCUAACUUGCUAAUUCAAAUCUUGAGGGCGGUCUGGCUAUUCGACCAGGAAUGCGGGAUCGACCUCGAACAUGACUUCGACCUCAGGCGUACAUCUAUCCGACUUCACGAUUUCAAUCCCGAGCUUGAGUCCUUCAACUAUUAAGCAUGAGCUGAUUUAUUCAUGUGGUUCAAUGUCCGGUCGGGUUCGCGAUGUUUACUGGGAAUCUCUUGUUGGUUUGCUGAAGUUGUUCUUUCCAAUUUUGCUUUACCAACUUGUCUAAGCUUUUCCUCCGACCUGUUGGGCGUGGUCUGCUGGAGCCUUCCCACUCAAAAGCUGACCGUUUGGUAGUAUCUGUUUUAAUUCUUGAAAGUUGUGGUUUCUCCAUUUGCAGACGUGUGGUGUUGGCUCCAUCACAUCCACCCAUCUGCACUGACAGGUGGCGUCGUGCCGAUCUCACUUGUUGGAGUUUGACCAUGCUAGCAACCUUUUUUAUUAGCAACUUCUUCACUAGGUCGACACAUCUUUAGCAGCUCGGGCUCUUUCUAACCUUGCUAUUCCAACCCACCGACCUCUCGGUGCUCCGAUCUACGAAUUCUGCCGAAGUCUUCAAUCAAAAUUUGUGCGCGGCAGAGUUUGAGUUUCUUGCUCAAAGCCUUUCAUACUCCUCCUCUCUAACAUGUUAUCUGGGACUUCUCAGCAGAUCUGCCCAUCUAAUCUCUACAAUAUAUGUACUGUUGAUCUCACAGUUUCCACAAAUAUAUACAUCAUUGAUUCUUUUUUCUUUUUACAGAAAAAAUUAAAAUUCUAUACUCAUAUAUAAGUAUUUCGAUCUGAAGUUUCACUUCGUCAGAUCUCAAAGAAAAAGUUAGUAGUAAUAAAAUUCAAUAAAUAUCAAAAUAAACUAUCUAAAAGACUAUCAAAAUAUUCUUGAACUAGCUGGAUCUUUCUUUUCAGCUAGGUUAUUCAGCUGGGUUAUUGUAAAUCUCUAACUUUCUUUUCGCAUAAACUUUCAUACCUUCAUGUGGAUCUCAAUGGGUGGAUUUAGGAACUCCGGUGACGAAAAGAUCUCCUUCGUUCCCACAGACGGCGCCAUUUGAUAAAUCUUUUUUCCUCUGGGCUCCCUGAUGGGUUUGGUUUUCUUCUUAGUCCAUCAUAUGGGUCCAUCAAAUGGGUCUCUCAAUGUUCUAUUUGACGAAGAGGCCUGCAAAAUAGGAAAAAUGAUCAGGGGUCUACCGAGGAUGCCCCCGGUGGAGACCUUCCGACGUUUAAGUCAGAUUUUAUGGAUUGGAGGAGUAUAUUUAGGCAAGAGUUGCCGAGAGAAAAGUAAAAAUGGAGUUUAGGAAGAAGAAGGAAAAAGAGAGAAGAAGAGAGAGAGCCCCUUUCUCUCUACCCAUGAUGUAUACCUGUCCAUCUGCCACAGUGCUAGCUGUCUCUGUUACCCAGCUCCGUACGUACGGAUGUGUUAGGCACCUGCUCCAUGCGUAGCGGCCAUUUAAUUCCCCUCAGUAUGCGUGUAAGCAAGUCUGCUGGAUAUGUGGGCCGGACAUCCCUUCUUUGAACCCGGGCUCAUGGUGGACCCGGCCUCAUAGCGGACCCAGUCUACCCCGCGUCUCCGGAUCGGGGCUUGAGAGGCUGGAUCGAUCUUGCUUAAGGAGGGCUUGAUGGGCUUUGGGCUGUUGUUCUCCUCUUGGGCCCGGUCUUGCUCAGGACAAAGGAAACUCGGCGGUCAUCACCGGCCCUUAAGUGUUUAACACACAAACAGUCCUAAAAUGCUGCAGAAUCGUGCGGCACUCAGUUCAGUCGAACAGAGUCACCGUUACCUGUAGUUUCCAUAUAAAACUAUCCAAGAGUAAUUACCAGCGGAAGCUAAAGAAGGAGAAGGUUGAAAGAAAUAAUAGUGCUAAGAAAGAUGAAAAAAGAAUUGCUUGUAUUAAUUACCAAAAAAUAAUUUACAAGGGUGCUUUACAAGAGUAUCGGCUAGCUCUCUGUUUUAUCCUCUACUCACUCACUGACUAACUAUAAAAUGGAAUAUAAGAUGGGUUUUUAUAGUUUACAUGGAGAUGUUCUAGAAUCUCCUAAAAGAAUAGAAAAAUACAAAUGGAGCCACAGAAAAUAAAAGAUAAUUCCAGAAGAUUGUGGUCCCACCAAACUUUUCCUGAAAUUGCUUCCGUGUCCCCUCCUGCUUUGGCACUAAAGUCUCCCAGCAGCUUCUUGGAAAUUCUGGCUAAGUUCAGCAUUCACCUGGAUAGGCUGCACAUUGAUUUGCUUUCUUGCAUGUCCCACAAACUAGCCUGGUCUAGUUCUUGUCCAGCGCCUAGCUAUGUCGAUUUGGGCGAUUUCCGUCCUAGCAGGCUUUUGGGUUUCUCUAGUCCUGGCGCGCUUCCAGGCUCAGGCUCCCGAGCAUCUCCAGCCUAAAUGCGCUUCCAGCCUCUUGACCAUUUCCAGCCCUGGCUCACUUCCAAGCUGAGUGUCCGGGCAUCCUCUAACCCUGUGAGCAUCCGGGCAUUCCUCCAGCCUUGCGAGCAUCCGGGCAUCUCCACACGGACUUCACUCGCU